CCUUCCAACCAGGAGAUUUCAUGCUUUUGUUCUCUCACGAGAGCACUGUUUACUCCCAUGAAGAAAGCUUCUCUCCAUAUUUAUAUUAAACUCAUAAACCAAAGAAAAUUUGACAACCAUACACAAUAUAAGACAAACAGCAAACCAACUCAGUUUUAUUCAUUUCUCCAUUUCUUUAAUACGUUUUCUUUUCUUCGGAUCUCUUCUUUGGACGUGGGACUCCUCCCCUCAUGUUUACAAGUCCUUCUGUGCUGAGCUGAAGGCUCUCCUGUUCCAGGACUCAUCUGAGGUAGGCAAUUCGUUUACACUUGUUUGGAAAACCGAGGCAGGAGCCCACCUGUGCUGCCUAAUUAUGCAAACAAGCUGAAUCAACAGAAACUCAGUCAACGACUUGUGAAUCCUUAACAAAAGCAUGCAGGAAAAAGACUGCCUACUCUGGGCAGCUUUUCAUUGGGAUUUGAGAAAGGAAACUGAGACCAAGAGCUUCUAGCCCUCGGGUACAAUCCAUCUCUGAGGUCCAGUCUAUGCUGCUAUAGCCCAGAAGAUGAAGAUCUUGGAAUUCCAAAUAGGACCUCUUUAAAGUCUAAAAAACCCUACACCCACCCAGAUCAUCUGUCACCAGGACUGUUGGCAUGUGAUGACAUGAAGAAUAAAGAGGAAAACUCAUUGUUCACUCAUUUUCCAUUGCCAAGAUAUAUUAAUAUGCCAAGACAAUUGCCCAUAGGCAAUUUCAUCUUCUGCAGUUGAGCUACUUGACGUCAACUGAUAU